rnacentral:piRNA from 1 species
UAGUAAGGUCCUCGUAAAUAUAGGACAUUA